AUUGAACGCUGGCGGCAGGCCUAACACAUGCAAGUCGAGCGGAUGAAGGGAGCUUGCUCCUGGAUUCAGCGGCGGACGGGUGAGUAAUGCCUAGGAAUCUGCCUGGUAGUUGUGGAUAACGUCCGGAAACGUGCGCUAAUACCUCAUACGUCCUGAGGGAGAAAUUGGGGGAUCUUCGGACCUCACUCUAUCAGAUGAGCCUAGGUCGGAUUAGCUAGUUGGUGGGGUAAAGGCCUACCAAGGCGACGAUCCGUAACUGGUCUGAGAGGAUGAUCAGUCACACUGGAACUGAGACACGGUCCAGACUCCUACGGGAGGCAGAAGUGGGGAAUAUUGGACAAUGGGCGAAAGCCUGCUCCAGCCCUGCCGCGUGUGUGAAGAAGGUCUUCGGAUUGUAAAGCACUUUAAGUUGGGAGGAAGGGCAGUAAGUUAAUACCUUGCUGUUUUGACGUUACCAACAGAAUAAGCACCGGCUAACUUCGUG
rnacentral:rRNA from 1 species